ensembl:snRNA U6 U6 spliceosomal RNA
UUGCUCACUUGGGCAGCGCAUACACUAAAAUUGGAACCACACAGAGAUUAGCGUGGCUCCUGCGCAAGGAUGACAUGAAAUUUCACGAAGCAUUCCCUAUUAAA